GGGGCGGCUCUUCCCGGUACCGGUUUGCCGUCUGGGCAAAAGCGGGAACGUUUUUUGGAACGAGGACUGAAAAAUCAGGCUUCUGAGAGCGUGAGGGGAAUGAACAAGUAACAAAACAGAAAGUGCAGCCCUUUCCUCUGAAACAGUGCAGCGGUGGCCCUGGAAUGGAGAUAGGCGGCAGAACGUAGUUGAUCUUCGUGGAGAUUGCAGAGCAAGCCAGGUUUUGGAGUCUUUAAAUGACAUGUUACAGUGACCAAAGUAUAAAGCUGGAAGUUUGGUGUCUGGAAGCUGGAAGCCCCACUUUUGGUGCAGUUAAAAUGUAGGAAUAUGAGCAGCUUGGAAAUACUUGUGGGCAUCAGAUACAGCUGUGCCUCCUUCACAUUACCCUGGCCUGGGACAUCUUGAUACAAAAUCAGAUUACUGCCUGUGUAUCUGUAUAAUAUUAAAAGGAAAAGAACUGCACCAAACACACACCGAGUGAUGAGGCAACCUGACCAGUACUCUGUUCUUUCGCAAGUUGAGCUAGGAAGCCUGGAGAAGAUUAGAGAGUAAAUUAUGUGCUUGUUUCUAUUUCCUGUUGGGAGUGCCUCUCUGUUGACUGGUCACCAAAAACCUGUAUCAAAUCAGAAAGCAGAUAAGCACACUGAAAAGACACGUUGUGAAGAGGCAGCUCUGAAGACCUUCAAGGGAGGUGCCCUGAGGAGAAUCCCGUACUGUGGACAGAGCACACGUGUUUUAGGUGCUGUCUUUGGUCUCUGCAUUUUAGAGAAGGUUCAGCAGGCCUUGCUCCCUCAGCGUCUCCUCUUACACUGUGUGCUGCAGCCUCCUG
rnacentral:lncRNA from 1 species